GAAAGAUGAAAAGAACUUUGAAAAGAGAGUUAAACAGUACGUGAAAUUGUUGAAAGGGAAACGAUUAAAGCCAGUCGUACCGGCGGGUAAUCAGCCUUUUGGGUGUGAUUAUGUGGAACGUGAGGAGUUUAAUCGCCUUCAUGCCUGCAUAUUCGUGCACUUUGGGUGUACUUGCUCGUGUGGUAGGUUAACAUCAAUUUCGAUCAUCAUAAAAUGAUUGGGGGAAUGUAGCUUCGAUCUCGUGUUGAAGUGUUAUA
rnacentral:rRNA from 1 species